rnacentral:lncRNA from 1 species
AAUAUUUCCUAUCAUCCUAUAAGUGGAUUGUCGUAUUGUAAAUGUCUGCCGAUACUUGCUCACCAGGUUUUGAAGGGGAGCUGGUGGAGUUCCUGAAAGUGACAUAAAAACUUGGUGAAGGAUCCAGACAACGAUCCACAGUUGUAAGGCUGAUGGAGCUCGAAGGGAAUUCAGGGGACCCUCAGUUGCUACUUCCUGGCUUUAAAUGGAGACGUGCCCACAGCGAGGAAUUGUGGAUGUGA